GGGAUUUGGAUUUUUAUUUUUGCCAGUCAACAUUAUGUCAAAGAAUGAGCUUAAAACAUAUCAAAUUAUUCAGUUAAACGUGCAUACUAGAUUGUUUAAUUAUUUUAUAUUUAAAGUUGAAGAAAACACUGAUCGUCAACACAAACACCAAAAAUAAGACUGAUGUUGAGGUUUAUCCAGAUUUCUGUUCAUUAAUAUUUUCCAGGUCCUCUACCCACUUCUGACAUUACCAGAGAUUGUUCAUCAUCAUCAUCAUCAUCAUCAUCAUCAUCUUCAUAUUGUUCAUUGUUGUGUUCCGUGUUAAAUGCGAGUGAUGCGACGCUCUCUUGGUACAAACAAAACAGUUUAUUGUCCAGCAUCAGUGUGUCUGAUCUCAGCAUUAGUCUCUCUCUACCUCUGGAGGUGGAAUAUCAGGAGAAAAACAGCUACAGCUGUGUGAUCAACAAUCCCAUCAGCAACCGGACCACACAUCUCAACAUUACUGAACUCUGUCAGCCAUGUCCAGGUAUGUUGGUGUUGGUAUUAACAUAAAUUAAUUAAAUUAUAUAGUGCUGCUGUUUGAUACUCUUUUUUUGUAAAUCAAGCAGACAGAUUUACUGAUACAAUUUGUCGAUUACAGAUCAGGGCCUACCUUUAUUUUACAUAGUGCUGAUUCCUUCUGCUGCUGGAUCUCUGUUGAUUGUUUCAGUCAUGAUCUGCUGCAUCUGCAGGCAAUGUAAAAGAACAGCUCUGACCCAAGAGGAAGACAGAACUGAUUCACCAUUGUGUAAACCAGCAACGCGAAAAACGAAAUCAAAGACUGAUGCUGUGUAUGAAAAUAUCCCCAAAAAGCGAUGAUCAAAUACAGUGAGCAUGAUUUGACCAAUUAUAUGUUCCUGGAUCAUCCAUGUUGAUCCUGGAACAACAUUCCAAUCAACCAAUCAGAAUUGAGAUAUAACUUUUCAGGAAAUGCCUGUUUUAGGCAGGUGCUUCUAAACAUUUGUUAAUCAGAUUUCAUCUCCACUGAUUUUAGGAAUAAAGGUUAGGUUUAGGGGUAGGGAAUGGGUUAAGUCUGUAUUUUUGGACAGUAAUGUUGAUCCAGGAUCAACAAAUGAAAUUGAUCCAGGAACAUGUCUGACUUGGCAAAAUCACGUGCGACAAUCAAAUACUGUAUAUACUGU